UAUAAGACAACUGGGCGUAUAAGACGACCCCCAACUUUUGAAAAGAUUUUCAUGGUUUAGAAAGUCGUCUUAUAUGCCAGAAAAUACGGUAUGUGCAUUCCAAUCCUGACUGCAUACUUCAUGGUGACUACAUUUAGCCUAAUUUUUGGAUUUUUUAAACUUCACUCAUAUCCUUUUUGUACAUCUAGCAUGAAUCUCAAAUAAUUGCUUAGAUGCUUGGUUGCAAGUGCUUAGGAAAUAAUUAUAUAGCUGGUUAACAAAGAACAAAAUAAUCCUACAUAAUACAGAUUUCACUUUUGCUAUCUAGCUAUUCAAUCUUAACUAAGAUUUACUAUCAUAAAUAGAUCUUACAUUGAAAGUACAUGAUUUUGAGGUAAAAUAUGUGAAUAGUACAUUGAGGCUGUAAAAAGGGGACAGCCACUUUGCACAUUAAAAAGUUUUCUUUAUCUGUUUUCUGUUGUCUUAUGGUUGUUCAGAUUUUUGAAGUUACAAUAUCACAGCUUUAGCAGAAUGUUUGUUAUAUCCCAUACAAUGUUUGCAUAUAUUGGUCAACAAACAAUACAAUGCUUCCUAGAGUGCAAAUAAAUCUUACAGAAGAAUCUGACAGAAAUAUACCAUAAAAUAAAUUUUGCAUUCCAUAGAAUGAAACAUGAAGAAUACACAAACUUUGUCCUUAAGGUAUUGUACAAUCCUGUAAACUGCAAUACUAUUGAUAAAAUAGGCCCUGCAUUUUUUUGAUUUGGCAUUUUAAGUUACACAUGCAGUAUUCAAGAAACGAUCAAUUCAAAAAUCACAAAAUAAUGACAAUUUUAAAAAGAUAAAUACCCUUUCACAAUUCUUCAUUACUAUUCUAUAAUUAUCAGUUUCAAUGCUGGUUAUUUCAAUUUUAUUAUAAAACAUAAAAUAUUUGGUUUGGAUGAUAUAAACAUUAAUGUAGUACAUUAAAUUAUUUCUAUAAUAUAUAUGUUCAUAUGUGAAAAAUAGUAUCUUCUUACAAAAAUAAUUUAAAACACUGAAAGCCUAAAAUAGCUUACAAAAUUAUUGUUACUUCCAUGUAACAAUUAUUAUUUAAAACUUAGAACAUAGAGAAUAGCAUUUUUAACCAAUUAAGUCCAAGAUAAUCCUUAAGAUGAGCAAAGUAAGUAAAAAUUAUAUAAAUAUUUAGGAUAAAGAAUAAAGUAAUUCAAAACAUCUGUGAAUCUUGCAGUGAAAUAUUUUCAAUUAUUAAAGCUUUAUUAAAAUGUUAUUUUGCUGGAAAGGUUAUGCACGUAUUCUUUCUGAUUUGGUUUAAUAGCGUGCAUUUAAGCUACUUACAGUUUUAAGUAUGUUACUUUCAAAGUGUUUUAUUGAAUUAUUUUUGGUUUAACUGUUUUUAAGUUUAUUCUGAAUUGCUUUUAUUUGUUUCCUAUUGUGUUUUUUUUAACACUGAAAAACAGGUAAAACUCAUAAAUAAUACCCUUUGAAUACUGUCCCAUUUUCAUUAUAUCCGUCUGCUAAAGCCAUGGAAGUGAAAUUGCUCCCAUUCUUUCUUCAGCCAUUGCUCUUUUUCAAACCUUUGAUUCUGGUUUGACACAUAUUUACAAAUCUCUUAUAAGAGAGGAUGGUGAGCCCUUUGGGAAUUUUGAUCAUAUGUCACAGGCAAUCUCGCAAAAUGGUUGCCAUAGGGAUAAACACAAAACAUCCCUGCACUAGAUGACAAACAGGUGAGAUUUUUAUCCGUUUUCAUGUUGUUCACUAUCACCUAGUUUAGUUCAGUACUUUUUGUUUGUUUGUUUUUCUGAACAGGUAGGCACAUUUCCAAAUGUGUUGCAGUCUUUCAACAUUUCUAUUAUCUAAGAUUUUCUACAUGGCCCAUAUAGGUCCCAGUGGUAUUAUUGUAAAUAAAUGAUGCUGGUGCUUUGCUCUGCAUCAUGCCAGCUUCUUGUUUAUUUAUUUUGAAGAUUCUUUUUUUAAAAAAAAAAUUAAGUGGAGCAGAGAACUUACUCCAUCCUGUGGAAGCUAAUCACAGCCUUUAAUUACACCUUCCUUUAUGCCUUUAGAUUUCUCCUACAGAACAUUUAUUGCCAAUACAAUCAAUCCAAGAUGAUUAUCGCUUCUCCCUUUCAUAUAGGUGUUAUACUACUGUCUUUCUUCCUUUUAUGUCUAUUGGAUGGGGAAGUCUCUAGCUGAAACAAAUAUAAACAUAGGGAAUACACACAUUUCCUUCUGUUCUUUACUAAGCUAACCUAACAAUGAGGAAUACGUAUCAGACUAUGACACAUAUGGGCUAUCUUUUUAAUUGAGAAAACGGUUAGAAAUUGAAAUCUGUAAACAUACUUAAAAUUAAGAAAUCCUCCCAAUGAUGUCAGCACCUGUCAGUUUUUCAACUGUAAGGUAGACAUUUGUUAUGCUUUAUUAGAACUCCUAGGCCUCUCCACAGUGUAACAUCCUGCCCUGCUUUUAGAUAAAACAAACCACCCACUUGGAAACGGUAUUCUCAAGGCAUUUUAAGCAUAGAAUUCUUAGAUUAUAUCAGUUUAAAACUGCAGAAUGUGGAUUUACUGUACCUGAUAGGAUGUUUACCUAUGAUUAUUAAAAUCAUAUUAAUAAAAAUAAUUUCAUGUGCAUAGUAAACUAAAGUACUGUAGUGAAAACUUGAUUAGAACUUUUUUCUCAAUUUUCUAUAUACAGAUACAAAUACACGAGGGAGGGAGGGAGGGAAGGGAGGAAGUGUGUGUUAAAAUAAGAUUUUCUCCAUCUAUCUGGAAUGGUUAGUCUUCCAGUACUGAAAUACUUGGUCUGAUAUAUAAUGUGUAAGUCUGCUUCUUUUAACCCCAUUUAAGGACUUUUAAAACAAGGGACAUAUCACUCCCAACAUAUAUAAUUCUGGUCCUUUUUUUUUUCUUUUUAACAAUAUGUUAUCUGUGAGGGAGAAGUAGACAUCGGAAUUUGAGACCUGUGUCAAAUAGUUCUCCUUGGGAAUAAUGCAUUAAAAGAUCAUAAUUCAUUUGCUUAGCUAUAAUGCUACAGCCCUAUCUAGUUUAAAAUUCAUACCAUUAUCAUAUAACUCUGCAUUUCUAAUCCCAGAUGUUUUGAAUAUUUUUCAUCACAUAUGUAAAAAUCAUGUACUAUAUUAAUACACCAUUUCAUAAUUGACCAACAAUUUUUACUUUGUUAUUUUAAAAUGGAAAUAAAGAGGUUUCUCUCCAGGAUUAUCUUAUAAAAAGUCCAGACAACAAACAUUGCCCAUGGUAUGUUUCCUCUUCCCUUUCUAAAUAUCAUGUUUAAAUAUAUUUUUAAAGCAACCACAUUAACAUAUUAUUCAGAAAGAUAAACUGGCAACAUAUUUGAAGGAAAUGAUCUCCACUGUUUCUUAACUUUGCAUUCAAAAUGAAUUGAUAGCUGUCCAUUUUUGUUUCAUCUACAGUCAUUCAAAAACAGAUAUUUGGCAGAAGGUAAUGUACUGAUCUAGCAAAAUCUCUCAUAUAAAAUUUAAACUAUAUGGUAGUUUAUAAAUCUGAAGUUAACAUAAAUUUUGAGUAUUAUCAACAUUCAUUCAUUAUAUCACUAAUUUGCAACAGUUAAAAAAGAAAAGAGAAUCCAUACAGCAGCAUCCAUGGUGGGCAGGAGAAGAAUGCUAAAGUCAACAUAGUGAUUGCAAUUGCAUGACUGAAGCACUGUCCUUUGUGUGAUGUGUGUGUGUGUGUGUGUGUGUGUGUGCAUGCGUGCAUGUGUGCAAUGUUGAUGCACAUACAAAAUGGGUGGACUUUGAUCCUAGUGUCACAAUUGUCAUCCUUAUUUUUAUCAUCCACCCCCCAGAAAGAACCAAAUUCAAAAGCUCAAUCAGUGAACAUCAUGUUAUCUUAUUUUUCUCUAUCACUGAAUUCUUAUUCUGUUAUCAUACCAAAUGCAUAUCCCUUAAUUCAGGAACCAAAGUUCAAGAAUACUCUUGGUUAAUGGAAAGAGAACAAGGGGAAUAAGGAAAUAUGCGAGCAGACUUAAUAGGCUUAUAUCCAAGAAUAAGUAUAAAUCCUGUUAAAUUGUAAUGAACAUCAUGUCUAAGAAUAUAUGUAUGCUUGUAUGUUUGUGUAUGUAUGUGUAUACAGAUGAUAGAUAGAUAGAUAGAUAGAAAGAUAGAUAGAUAAUUUGCUCUCUGAUAUAGUCAAACCUCAAUAGCAAUGGCAGUCAUUUCAUUAAAAUAGUUAAUAAAAUUGAAACAAUACAAGACUUUAUAAUAUAUACUCAAAUAGUAUUUUAGUAAAUUCAAUGUGAAUAAACUAAACAAUAAAGUGUCCAAUUCACAGAAAUUGAGAUUUUCUAUAAAACAUUUUAAUUUGGCAUCUUCAAAAAUAUAGAUCAUCAACUUCUAAUUUUAAACAUCCUCCAACCCCUACAAUCUGUACUGGAGAAAGGCUAUGAAUUUAUGCUGGUAUAAAUUACAGUUUAGCUCUUCUCUAAACUAGAUGUUUGCACUGAUCCAAAUAAGGUAUUGGACUCCUGGAUAAAAUCCCUAGAGCAGGAAAUAUUCCACAGAAACAUUACCAUUCACAUCUUGCCACCUCAGACAGGAAUUUUACCAGAAAGUUGUGUUUCCAUUCUCUUUAUACAAUCAGCAUAAAACUUCCGUUAUAAAUAUUUUCUUCCCAUCCACUUUUUACAUUUGGUCAAGGAUUUCCCAAGCAUAAAUGGAAGACCUUCUCCAAAAGCCUGCCUGAGUCAUCUUUCUCUUGCAAAAUAGAAGAUCAAAAUACAAAGAAAAAGCUAGCCUUCAUUCCCUGCCCCCUACAAUUGCGGUACCUCACAGCCACUUCAGUAUGAACCCUUAAAUACUCACAUGCUAUCUAUUUGAAAAAUAACACCUACAUAAAUCAGUAAUAUUUUUUCCACUGGGGUUCACAAAUAAUGAACAAAGUCCUCCAUGUAAAAAAGCCAAACAAAGGGUAUGCAUAUAGCAUGCCUAUGGCAUUCCCUAUGUGAAAUUGCACAAAAUGUUUUAAUGCACACUUUGAGGAGCAACCUCCUUUAGAACUAGAUCUAAAGCCACUGAGCAAAACUUAUUUGUCACAGACAUAUGGAUAGCUGAAUUAUCACUGCCAUUCCUGACCAGCAGUUGCUCAUAGAUAAUUGUCUAUAAAAAGCAGUAUGCUGUAAAAAGAGCUGAAUGCAUUGCUACUGACGCUAUGGUGAAUGCCAACUUCCAUUUCUGAGUUGAAUUGCUAGUAAUGGCCCAAGGAUUGCUAUGAUAAUGACAGCUAGUUAGUUAUACACAAUGCCAAUGUAUCUUAUAGAAUGGAAGUUUCCAAAAGGGAAACUUCCCACCAUUGUGCAGCAGGUCUUUAAUGGAAACCUGGCAUACUGUACACUGGUAUAUCAAGUUUUUCCAGGCAUGAAGAGAUAGGAAAAACUCCUUGUUCUUAUCCUUUCCUUUACAUGCCUCUAUUAAAGGCACAGGAGACAGAAAUUACACACACACACACACACACACACACACACAUUCCUAGGUCCAACCAGCACAUGCAACAUAUAAAUAGACAAAUGCUAGGACAUUUCAAAACUUAAUUAUCACAGCAUUGAAUUUGUAUCAAGUUCAAGAUGUUACAGGAUCAUACAUUGGAUUUAGAUUUAUAUCAAGGAACAUUCUCCUUGAUAUCCAACCAAGUUUGGGUCCUUUUACCUGGCUUGAAACAAUCAGGGAAAUAAGCCAUGAGCUGCACAGAAUUCACACUGAGAAAAGUAUUAGUAAAUAUAGGAUGUAAAUGUCUGAAUAAUUCAUUAACACCACUCACAUUAUAUUACAUGCGAAGCUAAAAAAAAACAACGGCCAGUUAGGAUGCUGCCCUACUUCUACACCAUUGCUAUCACUUCACAAUAAGCCUAACAGAUUAUUAAUAAUGUACACCUAGUCAGGCUUGCUUAUACAGUCAUGAUUAAGAAUGCUUUUUUUUUUAGAUAUUAGCCAUUACUUUACUUCAGACCCAUUGCUAUCACAAAUGUAAAUGGUUUGAAUCAACUCUGUCCUAUCUCUCUAGAAUUAGGGCCAAACUCAGCAGUUGUGCCAGUAAAUAUCCUCAACUUUCAUCCUCUUUGGUGGUAGUGUUACCUUAUCCCUUUAGUUACUGCAGUUAUUAACAAAAGAUAGGAAUACAUCAGGUGGUACAAAGAAAGGCAGGGCUCCUGUGCCAAUAUGAUACCAUUUCUGAUUCACAUUUGUGCCAUUUCAUCUUUGUGCAAAUCCACUUCUCUCCCUGAUUAUUUACAUUUCUUCUCCAUUUUAGUUUUGGAGGUAUGUUAUCAUUAAUGUGGGGUGAAGACACAUGAACAUUCAGCUGAAAAGCAACACUAGCUUUAUUUUUAAGAAAAGUCACUGACUUUGGGCUCUGGAAAAUACCCUUAACUCUCCCUUAUUGUAUGCUCAAGUGUAUAGUUCACUGCUUCAUAGAGCAUUUUCUUUCUGGGGAAUGUUAUAAUUAGGUACUGAGCUUGUACAUUGGGAGGAGCAUCAGGGCAUAUGUACAGUCAAAUAUACUGAUCUUGAGUUUAAAAAGGGGACCUACAAAGAAAAGAUUGUGGUUCCAGUCCUAACUGAAAGUAUAGACACAAGAGAAAUGGUUCUAGAGGAAAAGGAUAACUGCACUUCUAGAUAUAUCCAUAUUUGUGGCAACAUAAAUAGUUUAACUGACCUAGUUGCAAAAAAAAUCCAAAAAACAGGGAUGGAGGAUGUGAAACUGCACAUAUAUUAUUGUGAUUCAAUCCUAUUGCUUUUGGGUGUAUGUGUGUAUCUAUCUGUCUAACAAACACAAAAUAAUGAUAACAAAUAACUGGAUGACAAACCAAACAAGGCUAGUGCUAUGUGAUAAAGGUACUGCUUAAGCCAGGGGUUUUCAAACUUGGCCCUUUUAUGACUUGUGGACUUCAACUCCCAGAAUUCCUCAGCCAGACCACUGGCUUAAGCCUUUAAGUAGGGGAAAAAUAAUUGUAUGAUUUUUUUAGGUGAAGCUCUCAUAUUAUUUUUACUAGACCUAGUGAAAUAUUUAUGAAAGCAACACAGGAGUGAGUUUACAAUGAGAAGCUGCAUAUUGAUUCUAUGUACAAUGUAUCAACGUAUAAAACAUCAGAUAUUUCAAAGUAGUUCUGGUUACUAGUUUUAUAAGUUGCAUGCCUUCUGCAAACCAACCAUGCACAGAAAUAUGUGUGAACAAUGCUGUAAUUGGUAUUGCCAAAAUCAUGAACAAAUGUAUAGUAAAACAACAUCUCUAUCCAGUUCUGAAUAUGGCUGAUGCCUAGACAACUAACUACUCCAGAACUACACAUAUUUCAUAUUUCAUUAAAUCCCAACAGUGUGAUGACUAGAAUAGAAAUUUAAAUGUGGAAAAGUCAGUCCAAAUCCUUGUUCAUUUCUUGAAGUUUACUUUAAAGUUGGGAGAUUGAUUGGGCAAAUUAUAUUAUUUUUUGAGACUUCAAAUUAAUAUUCUGAGCUCCUUAGAAAAAAGGAGAGAUACAAAUAAAUAAUUUAGGAAUGUCCAGACUUAUGUAUUAGCAAACUUUAUAAAAGUUCCAUCUGAAUUAAAUAAUUAAUAUUUACCCAAUAACUUUCUUUAUAAAGAAAAUGAUUUGAUUCUAUUUAUUUCUAUUUACCAUUUAUUUCAUUUAUUUAAUCAACAUGCAGUUCAGAAGAAGUAUAAAUUUCCAUGUUGUCUCCCCCUAAUGGUUUCACGGUUUAAGACCAUAUGUAAUAAUAUAAUAACGUGGACAAAAAUGCCAAAUCCAGUCUGAACAUCUGGCUGACUAUGUGACAAACCAUGAUAAUAAUAAUUCAUUGUAGGUAUGUAAUUCAAAAUGAAUCUGUAUCUAGCACUUCAAAAAUUUGUACACAGUGAAGAAAAUUACUUCAAGCCUUCUUUACUACACAAUACAAGAAAAUAAAUAGGUCAAAAAUAAUACAUUUGGUUUUCUACAAGAUAUAAAAAUACCCUUGGUUUCUGAUCAUGCUGGAUUCUUUUACUUCAGACCUAUGGAAUCUUCAUACUUUUUUGCUUUGAAAACUAUAUCACCAAUAGAAAUCAAUUUAUUUUCACACCCUUAGGGUGAUCAUCUAGUACUACCAUCAUACAUUUAAUUAUUCCCUGUCCUGUUUUACAGCAGUCCUUGAACAGUACUCAAGUACUCCUUGAACAAUACACCUGUGUCUUGCUUCUUAAAUAUGGUGUGUUACUAAAAGCACAUUGUUUUCACUCCCUAUAAGUAGUAGGAGUCCCUUCACAAGUAAAGGUGCUGACUUCAAUUUUUAAAACACAGAAUGUCUCAUGAUUUCUAUAAUGAAGGAUUAAUCAUUUCUGUUUGAUAUUUUCUCUAGCAACUUUUAAUUUCAGCUGAUCAUGGAGGAAUAUGCUCAGUGGCUAUGCCCCACUUUGAAAACGCUAUAAAUGGCUUAGAAGCAAGAUAGACUUUUUAUCAAAAAGAACAUACACCCAGCUUUUUGAUAGUAUAUGUGUGUUAGAUUAUAACUGUCAUUUAUUUCUACGUAUAAUUUCCUGGUAUAUUACAGAAAUGUAGAUGUAGAAAUGUAGAUGACAUAAACUGCUGUCAGUACAAAGUCAACUGCCCUCAUACUGGCAAUUCUGUUCAGAAAAACAUUAAAACCUUUGACAGUGACUUCUUUUCUCUUCUGUUUCUAACUUCUGUUAACAGUACAAUAGAAGCUCAGGCAAUAAAACUUAUAUCUUUGAGAUACAAUAUUAUUUUAGACUAAUCAGAGUGGAUUUUUAUGACUCGUGCUAAAUGAUGCAUUAAUUUUGAAAUGUCUGUUUAGUAACAUUACAGACAACAGCCUCAUUCUUGAUAUUUGUUUCUUUGUUUACCUUUGAAACAAGUUUAAGAAAGCUAUGAUUUUAAUAGAAAUGCCCAAUUAAAAAAAUAAAUUAUAUUAAGAAAGUAAUAUACAUGGGCAUUUUGCAUGUCACACAUUUGUUGCUAGUUAUUUUUUUCUACAACAACUUCCUAAUAGUUCUGUUCUGCACUCAAAUGUAUCAGAGAAAAAAUAACAUUGUACAAAUUUCUUCAUAUAAAUUUAAAAUUGAAUUAUGAUUGUGAUCAUUUACUUGAUAGUAUAUAAAGAUAGAAAAUCAAGUAUAAUAAUUAGUUAACACAAUAAAUGGAGAUCCAUAAAAGUACAAAAUAAAAAGACACCAAAAAGCCUAAUUCAUACUAAUGCUUCCCAAUUGUGAUUGCUGCUAAAGAGCCAUUGGCUAUUUUCAUGAAUAUGUCAAUGGACAAUCCACUAAUAAACAUUGCACUGCAUACAUACCACAUACGCGCGUACACACACACACACACACACACAGGGAGGGAGGGGAGGAGGGAAAACUGAAAGAAUAGCAGAAUGUAACACCAGGUGCUACAUUAGUACAAAUAUAUCCUAGAUCUAUGAAAAUCUUCUCAACAGAUGUUUCACUUGCAAGUGGUGGCCCUCUGAAUCAAAAGCUUCUUCAAAACCUAUGUCACUAUAGUCACUUGAAGAUUGAGUUUUUCUGGUCAACUUGUUUGCAAAAGUCUAAUACAUAUAUAAUUAUAAAAUGCAUGUCUUAUGCAUCCUUUUGCUGUUAAGAGCUACUAAUUUAACUAACACAAGUUAAAAGAGUUAGAUAUUCAUGCUCUAAACCAUAUUUUAAUGUAUUAUAGUUUUUAUUUUAUGUAGUCAUCAAUAUUCAAAUACAUCAUGCUAAAAACAAAAAAUGGCUACAGCAGGAUAUUCUCUUGCAAUCUUAAUUUCAUUUUUUAAAACCACUUUAACAGAAAGAGUCAUAUUAUGAAGGCUCCAUCAAAUAAAAGAUGGCCUUUUAUACCCUGAUCUGGAGGAUAAAGCAUUGUACCCAACACUACUCAAGCUAUUUUUUUCUCAAAAAUAGGACAAUUAAAAACAUUAAAAUAUACAAACGCUAUUAUGUGAAUGUACCUAAAUAAAAGGCAUUUUAAUCAAAACACUGAUUUUAAUUGUGCUUCCUCUUGAGUAUAUCUGUUUCCAAUUGGAACCUUAUUGAACACUGUAUGAAAAGCAUAAAGGAAUGAAUAACGUUCUGGAUCUUGACUUCAUAAACAUAUCUUUACAAAACCAAGAUAAAUAAAAUAGCUACCAAACAACCAACAAACAAGAUUUGACAUGUUGAGUCUGAAGAAGCUGAUACAGAUCUAACAUGUCAAAAAUUCACACUACACACUAACAGAUGCCAGACCCUUAACUAGACAUGAUAGAUCAUAAUGAGAUUUUCCAGUGAUCUCCACUAAAUUAACAAAAGCAGCCUCAAUGUAUUGCAAGAGUUCUAGUUUCACCUACAUUCUCUGCAUUAAACUAUUUCCUUCUACAUAGAAGGGCACACAUUUCAAACCUCAGGACCAUGCAUCAGCUCUAAAUUAAGUAACAAGAGCAGGAGAAACACAAGGAGCUAGAUGUGGGAGCAUACAGAAGACAAAAGGCAUAUUAUUUCAUUCCUGACAGUCAACUCAAUAUGCCUCCUCAGGAGCCAGUUCUAUUGAGUUCAAUGGAAUUUACUCCCAGCUCACCCAGUGGCACCUGAAAGCUGAGCUGAAGCAACUUACAAUGAAGACUCCCUGGGCACUGGUUGAAAGGAUAAGAAUUACCUAUGAAAUGAACACCCUCUUCUAUGAUUUACGGACCACUUUGUUCUGUUUAGUCUGAGACUGUAUAUACACAUAUACAUUUUCCUACCAACAACAAGGAACACCUUGAUGUUCUUAAAUGAUUAUUUAUUCUGAUAAACAUUUUAAGAACUAUGUAGCUAUUUAACUGAUUUGUUAGCAAUACAAAGCUGAGUACUUGCAGAGAAAAAAGUGGCACCCAACUCCAUUAAACUUAACACCCAAUUAAAUAUACAUUUAUUUACAUUCACAAAUUCAACCUCCAGUUCCUAUAAAACAGCUUGUUAAUUAUAAUAAAUCAGUUUGUCUCCUGAAGGUAUAUCAAAUGUAGUGAUAAUCUGUAUAAACUACAAUUCUGACACGCUAAAAACUGUAGUUAAUUCUGGGAAAGAAACUAUUAUCAUCUAUCUGAACAUCCUUCUAGGAUGAAGGCUUAUAUAGAAAUAUUGUUUAAUACUUAGAAGUGAUUAUUUAAAUUAUAAUACAUGGAGUAGCAAUAAAUUAUAACUUUAUCCUUAAAAGGACUUAUCCUUCUAUGAGGAUAAGAAGAAUUUUACAGUGCUCAAAAAAAAAAA